rnacentral:misc_RNA from 1 species
AGCACCAGCAGCAGCGUGU